ACCCGGGCUGUGUCAAGCGGACGCGACAGGGAUGGAGAACAUAGGCAUUUUUCCGCUUUCUGCCUAUGGCCAACGAACAGGCAGGCGAGCUUCCCACCUGUCCAGCCC
rnacentral:sRNA from 2 species